GCAUAUAUGCAGCUAAGUGGAUAAAGCGAUGGCGUUUGAAGCGAAUGGUACUAGGUUCGAGUCCCAGAAUGAAC
rnacentral:tRNA from 1 species